rnacentral:rRNA from 1 species
CCUACGGGAGGCAGCAGUGGGGAAUAUUGGACAAUGGGGGGAACCCUGAUCCAGCCAUGCCGCGUGUGUGAAGAAGGCCCUCGGGUUGUAAAGCACUUUCAGUGAGGAAGAACGCCUGGUGGUUAAUACCCAUCAGGAAAGACAUCACUCACAGAAGAAGCACCGGCUAACUCCGUGCCAGCAGCCGCGGUAAUACGGAGGGUGCGAGCGUUAAUCGGAAUUACUGGGCGUAAAGCGCGCGUAGGUGGCUUGAUAAGCCGGUUGUGAAAGCCCCGGGCUCAACCUGGGAACGGCAUCCGGAACUGUCAAGCUAGAGUGCAGGAGAGGAAGGUAGAAUUCCCGGUGUAGCGGUGAAAUGCGUAGAGAUCGGGAGGAAUACCAGUGGCGAAGGCGGCCUUCUGGACUGACACUGACACUGAGGUGCGAAAGCGUGGGUAGCAAACAGGAUUAGAAACCCGAGUAGUC